UGCUGGAGCGGAGCACGGGGGAGGGUCAACGGGUCCCAGCACCUGUUGUUCAGAUACAGUGUCAGCGCAGGGCAGCUGGCAAAUCACCGAUUCACGGGGAAAAUAUCAAGGAGCUGACGGUUCAGGGGGGAAAAACUGAACUAGGACUGAAGGUUCUGCUCACAUCACAUUUCCGUGAAUGUCUCCUUCUGCGGGCUGAAAUGAGGAAACAUCUAGACUUGAGCUGUUCUGCAGACGAAACCUCCUGCAUUCCCAGCAGAGCAUGGGAUCAGAUCUGGCAGAGGUCCGGAGGGACACAGCCAGGGAACAGACAGAUCCAACUCCUGAUGGGGGUGAAAGCAAAACAUUUCAACAUCCCAUCGCUUAGUUUAUCCAGAAUGUGACUACACAGGGUCGUCUCAGUCAUCUCUCAGUGAGGAAACCCCGGUUGGGAAAUCCACAGACUCUACCCGGAUCCCAGCAGGAAUCUUUACAUCCAUCUGCCAGAACAUGUGCUGGCUCAUCAGCGCACGAUAAGUCUUUGGAGAACACGAAGAUCCAACCAGGAAUGCGGAAGAAGCACAAUGGACCAGCUGCUGCUCCCAUAUCCAGAUGUUAUCAAACCACACAAAUGUGUUUCUAACCAUUUCUAGUCCAGAUGCCUAUUUUUGUCCAGUCCAGUGUAUUUAUGAGCAUUUUAAACACAACUGUGGGAUGUUAAGGGUUGAAAAUAAAAAUAGGAAUUAUAAAUACAUGCAUCUCCAGAUACACAUAGUUACAGUAGAUAGAAUCCUCCUGAUUUCCGCAUUAAUUUUCAGAUGGAAGUAGGUAAAUAUGAGCAAAAUGAGCCUGACAUCAUCUCAUCCACUUUAACUGUCUGACACACACUAAGCUCUGUGGUGUCUUUACUCUUUGACUGCAGUCACUGCAGACUUUGGACCAUUGCUCUGUGCAAGUGUCCUGACACAAACCGGCUCUGCAGAGGGAACAAAGCUGCUGAAUGCGUGGGGCUGUGAGACGUAAAGCUGUCCAGCAGCCUGAGGUUUGUCAGGUUGUCUGGGACAAAUGGCUGCUCCAGCAGGUUCCAAAAAGAGAUGUGACCACAAUCAGUCCAUCAUCAGUGCACGGAAACAAAAAAAAUUUUCAAAUCAGAAAGUAUCUGCAAUAAAAUGAUACUUUGCUCAUUGUAUCAUUUUGUACUAUGCUACUGUUACCAGUCUACAUGUACUUACACAGUCUGCUGUAACUGUAGCUCAUGUUUAGAACCAUGUCGCCCCCUGCUGUCAGACCCAGUCUGCAUGUUUAUACCACCAUCACCACCACUGUCAUCAUCACCAUCACUGUUCUGCCUUUAUAUGUCUGAUUACAUAUACAGUAGCUAAACUAUUAAAUUGUUUAAACGGUAGAUAGGCGCGUUUUAGCGCCCUCUUCUGGCCUGUUGACAUUAAUACGUAGUGAACGUGUGAAGUGCCUUGGACUUUAUUUGUCUUUAAGUGGCUUCAGAAUGUUUGUACUAAUGUUUCUGUGUGGCUGGUCGCCGAUGCUUGGAGGCAUUUUCAGCUUUUACUCAAGGACUUAUUGGACCAGUCCAUCAGAUGCUGUUCCCAUUCCCACUGCAGGAGAGCAAACCUUAAUCCAGACUCCCUCCCUCACACUCUGGUCAGUGUUCCAGUUGUCUGGCUCCUGAUGCUCGGCUUAACACUUUUUUUCCUCUUUCCUCUCACUGUAAGAUAAGUCUUGUGGUUCUGAGUCCUGCGUAUAUGUUGACUGUGACUGUGCUCGCUUCCCUGCUGCAUCCGUUUUCUUACAUGUAUUAGUGCAGUGGCCUCAGAUUAGAUCUGUGGUAAAUGGCUCUGAAUAAUAAAUGAGGUCAGAGAACAGAUUAAAGCUCAA